rnacentral:rRNA from 1 species
UCGAGAAUCUUCCACAAUGGACGAAAGUCUGAUGGAGCGACGCCGCGUGAGUGAUGAAGGCCCUACGGAUUGUAAAACUCUGUCAGGAGAGAAGAAUCGCCGGGGUGCCACUACCACCCUGGUCUGACGUUAUCUCCAGAGGAAGCUCCGGCUAACUCCGUGCCAGCAGCCGCGGUAAUACGGGGGGAGCAAGCGUUGUCCGGAAUUAUUGGGCGUAAAGGGCGUGUAGGCGG